rnacentral:rRNA from 1 species
ACGCUCGACACCUACGGGAGGCAGCAGUGGGGAAUAUUGCACAAUGGGGGAAACCCUGAUGCAGCGACGCCGCGUGAGUGAAGAAGUAUUUCGGUAUGUAAAGCUCUAUCAGCAGGGAAGAAGAUGACGGUACCCGAGUAAGAAGCCCCGGCUAACUACGUGCAAGCAGCCGCGGUAAUCUGAGCGGCUGGCAAGGC